AUUGAACGCUGGCGGCAUGCCUUACACAUGCAAGUCGAACGGUAACGGGCCUUCGGGUGCCGACGAGUGGCGAACGGGUGAGUAAUACAUCGGAACGUGCCCGACCGUGGGGGAUAACGAGGCGAAAGCUUUGCUAAUACCGCAUACGAUCUACGGAUGAAAGCAGGGGACCGCAAGGCCUUGCGCGGACGGAGCGGCCGAUGGCAGAUUAGGUAGUUGGUGGGAUAAAAGCUUACCAAGCCGACGAUCUGUAGCUGGUCUGAGAGGAUGAUCAGCCACACUGGAACUGAGACACGGCCCAGACUCCUACGGGAGGCAGCAGUGGGGAAUUUUGGACAAUGGGCGCAAGCCUGAUCCAGCCAUGCCGCGUGCAGGAUGAAGGCCUUCGGGUUGUAAACUGCUUUUGUACGGAACGAAAAGCCUUCUUUUAAUACAGGAGGGUCAUGACGGUACCGUAAGAAUAAGCACCGGCUAACUACGUG
rnacentral:rRNA from 1 species